rnacentral:rRNA from 1 species
GACUCGUCACACUAUCAUUAACUGAAUCCAUAGGUUAAUGAGGCGAACCGGGGGAACUGAAACAUCUAAGUACCCCGAGGAAAAGAAAUCAACCGAGAUUCCCCCAGUAGCGGCGAGCGAACGGGGAGGAGCCCAGAGCCUGAAUCAGCAUGUGUGUUAGUGGAAGCGUCUGGAAAGGCGCGCGAUACAGGGUGACAGCCCCGUACACAAAAGCGCAUGUGCUGUGAGCUCGAUGAGUAGGGCGGGACACGUGGUAUCCUGUCUGAAUAUGGGGGGACCAUCCUCCAAGGCUAAAUACUCCUGACUGACCGAUAGUGAACCAGUACCGUGAGGGAAAGGCGAAAAGAACCCCGGCGAGGGGAGUGAAAAAGAACCUGAAACCGUGUACGUACAAGCAGUGGGAGCCCCACCACCAAAGCAUUUGCUGUACCGCGUUGACGGAGCGAAGCGACGUCAAACCGAUAAAACAGCAGUGUAAAGUGAGCCGCAGGGCGCUUUGCGCGACAGCGCAAAGGCAGGCGGUUUCGCGUAGCGAAAGCGAAUGCUUUGGGGUGGGGUGACUGCGUACCUUUUGUAUAAUGGGUCAGCGACUUAUAUUCUGUAGCAAGGUUAACCGAAUAGGGGAGCCGGAGGGAAACCGAGUCUUAAUUGGGCGUUAAGUUGCAGGGUAUAGACCCGAAACCCGGUGAUCUAGCCAUGGGCAGGUUGAAGGUUGGGUAACACUAACUGGAGGACCGAACCGACUAAUGUUGAAAAAUUAGCGGAUGACCUGUGGCUGGGGGUGAAAGGCCAAUCAAACCGGGAGAUAGCUGGUUCUCCCCGAAAGCUAUUUAGGUAGCGCCUCGUGAAUUCAUCUCCGGGGGUAGAGCACUGUUUCGGCUAGGGGGCCAUCCCGGCUUACCAACCCGAUGCAAACUGCGAAUACCGGAGAAUGUUAUCACGGGAGACACACGGCGGGUGCUAACGUCCGUCGUGAAGAGGGAAACAACCCAGACCGCCAGCUAAGGUCCCAAAGUCAUGGUUAAGUGGGAAACGAUGUGGGAAGGCCCAGACAGCCAGGAUGUUGGCUUAGAAGCAGCCAUCAUUUAAAGAAAGCGUAAUAGCUCACUGGUCGAGUCGGCCUGCGCGGAAGAUGUAACGGGGCUAAACCAUGCACCGAAGCUGCGGCAGCGACACUGUGUGUUGUUGGGUAGGGGAGCGUUCUGUAAGCCUGUGAAGGUGU